CGCCUACGGGAGGCAGCAGUAGGGAAUCUUCCACAAUGGGCGAAAGCCUGAUGGAGCAACGCCGCGUGGGUGAAGAAGGUCUUCGGAUCGUAAAACCCUGUUGUUAGAGAAGAAAGUGCGUGAGAGUAACUGUUCACGUUUCGACGGUAUCUAACCAGAAAGCCACGGCUAACUACGUGCCAGCAGCCGCGGUAAUACGUAGGUGGCAAGCGUUAUCCGGAUUUAUUGGGCGUAAAGGGAACGCAGGCGGGCGUUUAAGUCUGAUGUGAAAGCCUUCGGCUUAACCGGAUGA
rnacentral:rRNA from 1 species